rnacentral:lncRNA from 1 species
AUUUAAAUGAAUGACUUCUAUCAUUAUUAUUGUUUUUUUAAAGUUUAUUUAUUUGUUUUGGGAGAGAGACAAAGUGCGAGUGGUAAAGGGGCGAGAGAGAGAGAGAGAGAGAGAGAGAGAGAGAGAGAGAAUCCCAAGCCGGCCCUGUACAGUCAGUGCGGAGUCCAAUGCAGGGUUCAAAUUCAUCAACUGUGAGUCCUGGGGUCCUCUCUUUCUCUAAUUCUAAAAGCCCCAGGAAUACUUACUCGGCAGAGAGGUCAGGAGUGAAGGAAAGAAACCUGGUAAGCCUGCUCAGUUUACCACGGGAACCCAUCCUGGUUGAGGAUUGCCUCUACUGGUGUCAUUUCAGUGUGCCACCCUAAAAAAAGAGGUAAACUGAGACAAGCGCAAGUGACCAGAAAUUGAGUUUAUUCAGGAAAGGUGGAGGAAUUGCAAUUUGGGAAACGCAUGCUUAAGGAGGCUGCAGGCUAGUCCCUUGUGGAUUUGGGUGGGCUGCAUUUAUAGGCAAGGAGUGCAGAAAGGAGGAAGUGCAGCCAGAGCUCAAACAGUAUUCGUAUUGGCUUGAGGAUGGGGAGAGAUUUUUCGUGUCUGCUCAUUGGUCAGGGGAGAAGUCUUGGUCUUCUGUAAAUCAGGCAUUGGCGGGAAAUCAGUUUCACUUCAGUUCCGUUUCACUUCAGUUCCGUUUCCCUGAGGGCGCAUGCGUGAGAUUCGUCCUUUCGUAGCCUCAGGUUCCAUUUUAAAUGGAACCCGCGGGGUUUGUAUCCUCCUGGCGCUCCAGCCCAGAGACUAUCGCUAAUCUGGUAGUCGUUUCUGCAGGUGAAGAAGGAAGACUCUCUCUGCCCGUGUUGUACUCACCGGUGCUUAUGCCAAGAUGGGAUUUAGGAUGGAAUGACAUUGAGGAACUGGAUUGUAAGCACGAUUUUGGAGAAAAGUUGAUGAUUGACACCAAUGAUAUUCAGAGCCAGGAGGUGGGGAGAGGUAACAUCCUGCUUUACAGAGUGGAGCCAACACACAUCACAGGUUAGUCCCAGGAAGUGUUUGGUUUUCUGGGGUUUGGUUCUGCUCUAUAUCAAGGUUUCAGUUACAACGUUUAGAUUUCCAUGGUGGCUUUGCAUCAGUUAGAACUGAAAGAGUCUGUUACUUACAAGAGGCCAUAAGGAACAAACACUUCAAGACACAUGGAGGCCUUGCCCAACAUAAUCAACCUAGUUAAUAGAAAAACUAGCACCAUAAUGUGUCGAAUGUUCUUGGCAUGCAGUACAUCACAGUAUUUUUUGAUAUCUUCCGGUAUCUGGAUAAUCCCAACCUGGAAGUGGACUCAGAGGUAUAUAAUUGGGAUGUACUCCAGCCCAUCAAACACUAGGUGGCAUCUGUCUCUUUGUGCAUCUGAUGAGUAAGUAGAUAGUGUUUCAUUUGGACUUGUGCAUUGAGAGGGGAGUAGGUAAUAAUUAGCCAUCUAUGAUCUUUGUUCUUUUGUAAAUUUGGGUAAGGUAAGCUGGUACCUAUGACUCAUAAACCAGUAUCAGUAUUGCAAGUGAGAUGUAGCAAAUAUGAUAGAGAUAAAUAUUCCUUGUAAGAACAGCUAUCUUUAAGAGAUAUAGCCUUCCCACCUUGGGCAUCAGAUAUCUAAAGAUAUUAAAAAUUCAUGACCUCAUGAAAAUAAUCAAAAGGAUUGGUUGCAGAUUAAUAAAACCAUUUAAUGGAAUGAAAAUUCUAUGUUU